UAUUUCUAUUUAUAUAGUUUAAUAAAAACAUUACAUUUUCAUUGUAAAAUCAAAUAUUAUUGUUUUAUAA
rnacentral:tRNA from 1 species